UAGAUAAGAAGGUUGACAAGGGGAUUUAAUCAAGUUAGGCCACUCCUAAGCUUACUUGGUCGUUGGGUUCUCUUAGUAGUCAUUCAAAAAUCUGCCCAUUUUCCUCUAACCAUAUCAGCCUAAUUAAGGGGAACCAAGAGAAACUAGUGAGUUCAUCCUUGUGUUCUUGAAGUCAUAAUCUUCUAUUCUUCUUCUUGUUAAAUGAUAAAGAUUGAGUUCCAUUCAUGAAUCCUACCUAUUAGGAGGGCUGUCAACAUAAAAGUAUUUGUGAAGGUUGUUGAUAGAUGGAUAGUUCAUAAGUUUGUUCUCUUCAAGGUAACUAAGAGAACCUUGCACUUGAGGAUUGUAUUGGAGCAUACGUAUAUUAUUGGAGUUGGGCUUGAUAAGCUCAGUGAGGUACCCAUGGUAGCAGUGAGCAAUAUAAGGGAAAUGGCCCAACUAUGGAUUAGUAGAUUGAAGCUGUUGUUUAUAUUCUGAUUAGACUUUAUGAUGGCAUGUAUAAUGAUUAACAUGUCCAAUUAUCUUAUUUUGAGAUUAUGUUAUGCAUUUAUUUUGAAUCCUGAAUGUAGUAUUAGAGACGUGGAUUAUUUGAUGAUGCU